rnacentral:lncRNA from 1 species
UGGUCAUCCCCAUCUGAAAAUUAUGUUUGAGAAUUCCAAGUCUUCCAAGGACUUAAACUUACCUAUAAUUAGACCGUAAUGGCCGCACCUAAAUUUGAUGAUCCAUGAAUGCGUGCUUGCAAGCGAGACUUACCUGCUCUUGGCAUUAGUUCAAGCAACUGAUCACUGGGGCCAUUGAGAGCACCUCCCUUCGCAAACAAAAGUUGGCAAAGGUUGGACAAGAACACCAUAGUACCAACUAAGUGAACAGUAAUUUUUCCAAAAAUGUGUGUGUUUGUGUGUGUGUUUUAUAUUUUUUUACUUUUAACGUUCCCUUAUAAUAUUGUAUAAGGAUUCCCCCAAAAGAUAAAAGUUUAUUCUAAAAAGAAUCAGUCAAAGACUGGAACUAUCUUCUUCUUAUAAUAAUGGCAUUAUGGGAGUCCACUAUAAUACGGGGACAGUGUUAUGGAGGCUUCGGUAUGUAGUGUGAAGACGUGGAUUUCCUUUGCUUUAUGUCAAGAAUUUGGGUUAGGUCAGCCUAACUAAACCCACUUAUCUAGCUGUUGAAACUUUAAGCAUGACACGUAUUCACGUAAUUAUGAGUGUGCUCCUAUUGAAUUGGCCCUUACCCUAGAAUGAUGUAAUGUUAUGCGAUGCGACUUGACUCAGUUGCAUUGAUAUGUAAAAGAAGAAACAAUGAUUUCAAACUUUCCCAACAAAUGUGUUCCACGCCGUAUGCCAUCUUUGCUCUCCAUCAGUAUGUUUUUUUUUUUGAUUAAACAAAGUCACAGGCAACUCGCGUGCGAUUAUUUUAAGCUCUCUUGACAUCCAAGUCAAAGCUAUACAUGUCCAACUGGAGCCUAUGCGUUUGGUGCGUGCAACGAAAGUGACGCAAUUAAAUUUGCGCUGAUCUAAUUGAUGAUAUACCCUCUAAAGUCUAAAUAAGCAUUUGCUAAUUUUUAUUCAGCUACAACCAAAAAAGAAGGAAUUUUUUUAUCAAAUAAUAUAAGUUUAUGGAUUAAGACAAGCAUAACAUCCACGGACAGUGUGUGAACACAUGCCAUGGUUUUGUGUGCUGAUAAUGGAAAGGUCAACCAAUACUAGCACUUAGCAUAUAAAAACAUGUGAGUUUUGAUUGAGAUUAAAUAUUUGAAUAUAGUGGCAUUCUCCUUGGCGAUUAUGUAAUUUAGUGGAUAAUGUUCAGGAUUUAGUGGCAAAGGAGAAAAUGCACUUAGUGUUUGGUUACGGUGUAAAAUUUGGAGGGACAAGAAAAAAUUAUCUAGAUAAGUUUGGAAGAAUAAGAGUUAUUUCGUGGAAUAGAAAAUUUGCUUGUUUGGUUGAAUGAAUAAGUUUAGGGGUUAUUUGAUCUGGAAAGAUAUGAUGAGAGAAUGGUAUUGUUUUUUAUGGAAUGGUUUGGAGUUGUUGAAAUAUCGACACCCUUUCUCCUCUAGCUUGUCUAACCUACACUAAUUCUACUCGAUGGGACUAAAAUUUUAUUAAAGUAAAUUAGCAUAGAUCGAUUUAAAGAUUUUUGUGAUGGAAAUGAGACCCAAUAUAGUUUGGACAUGUAUAUAAAGGUGCCCUAUAUUAAAAAGUUACAUGGAACAAAAUUUCAUUUCAUGAUAGAAUUAUAUCAUAUACACAUUAUUGACAACCCAUAUGCAACAUUGUGAAUACAAUUAUCAAAAUACACAAUUGAUAACUCAUGAUAAUGAAAUAUUUGCGGAGAAAAUUAUACAUUCUACAUGUCAUAAUACAUACAGACAAUUU